rnacentral:snoRNA from 1 species
UGGCCAACGAUGAGAACUCUUAAAUCUGAUUGGGCACGCUUGUGCUCUGAUGGGUUAAAGGAUUUACCUGAGGCCA